rnacentral:rRNA from 1 species
UACAGAGGUCUCAAGCGUUGUUCGGAUUCAUUGGGCGUAAAGGGUGCGUAGGCGGCGCGGUAAGUCGGGUGUGAAAUUUCGAGGCUUAACUUCGAAGCUGCAUUCGAUACUGCCGUGCUUGAGGACUGGAGAGGAGACUGGAAUUUACGGUGUAGCGGUGAAAUGCGUAGAGAUGUGGAGGAACACCGAUGGCGAAGGCAGCCCCCUGGGCUGAGAUUGACGCUCAGGCACGAAAGCGUGGGGAGCAAACAGG